rnacentral:rRNA from 1 species
GAUGAACGCUGGCGGCGUGCCUAAUACAUGCAAGUCGAGCGAAGCGGGGACGGGUGAGUAACACGUGGAUAACCUCCUAUACGAAUGGGAUAACUUCGGGAAACCGGAGCUAAAACGGAUACUUAUAGAUGGAUCAGCGCUGCAUUAGCUAGUUGGUAAGGUAACGGCUUACCAAGGCAACGAAGCAUAGCCAACCUGAUAGGGUGAUCGGCCACACAGGAAUUGAGCCACGGUCCAGACGCCUACCGGAGGCAGAGGUAAGGAAACUUCCGCAAGUGUCGCAAGCCUUACCGAGCAACGCCGCGGUGGGGAUGAAGGUCUUCAGAGCGUAAAACUCUUGUAUUAGGGGAGAGGUAACGAAUCGGAAAGGCACGGCUAACUACGUGCCAGCAGCCGCGGUAAUAC